rnacentral:lncRNA from 1 species
ACAGAAUACAGCCAUUAUAAAUAAACUCCAUAUUAAAAGUGGCCUGUCCCAACAGGAACUCACAUGGGUUGAGAAAAAAAAUUUUUCCUUCCUGACAGUUUUUGGCAAUGCAGAUGGGACUUUCUGGGAUACCCCAUCCACUCUGGAACCUGCAGAUGAAAUCCUAGCAAAACUGGCAGAAGCUGGUAAAAGAAAGAUUCAUGGAAAGCACUCUGACAAAUACAGGCUUCUGAUAACUUCAAGAUCAUACCAUUUGGCCAGAAAUGCCUCUUAUUAGAUCACCAUAUAGAGGCCUAACUUUGAUGAGAGCUCACCUGCAAUAUCUCCUGAAAUGAGACACAACUGCUUAAUUGAAUUGACCUAUUCUCAGCACUAAGACAAUGAUUUGAUAUGGGGCAAUGUACUUAAAUUUGUUCAGCUGCACUUGUUCCAAUCUAUGUUUUCCUCUUCCUUUGCCAAUCCCUGAUCUCACAAUCUCUAAUCCAAAUCUCUUCAAAGCUACCAACUUGGAGAGUUCUAAGCCACCAUUUUGAGUUACUUUGUGUUGUGGUUUCUCCUGCAUUGUGUGCUGCACGUAUUAAUAAACUUGUUUUUCUCUUAUUAAUC